rnacentral:rRNA from 1 species
CGUACUGAGACACGGACCAGACUCCUACGGGAGGCAGCAGUGAGGAAUAUUGGACAAUGGGAGCAAUCCUGAUCCAGCCAUGCCGCGUGCAGGAAGACUGCCCUAUGGGUUGUAAACUGCUUUUAUACAGGAAGAAAAAGGUGUACGUGUACACUGUUGACGGUACUGUAAGAAUAAGGAUCGGCUAACUCCGUGCCAGCAGCCGCGGUAAUACGGAGGAUCCAAGCGUUAUCCGGAAUCAUUGGGUUUAAAGGGUCCGUAGGCGGGACAAUAAGUCAGUGGUGAAAGUCUGCAGCUCAACUGUGGAAUUGCCAUUGAUACUGUUGUUCUUGAGUGCUCGUGAAGUGGUUAGAAUGAGUAGUGUAGCGGUGAAAUGCAUAGAUAUUACUCAGAAUACCGAUUGCGAAGGCAGAUCACUAACAAUUCACUGACGCUGAUGGACGAAAGCGUAGGUAGCGAACAGGAUUAGAUACCCUGGUAGUCUACGCCGUAAACGAUGGUUACUAGCUGUUCGGACCAAUUGAGGUCUGAGUGGCUAAGCGAAAGUGAUAAGUAACCCACCUGGGGAGUACGUUCGCAAGAAUGAAACUCAAAGGAAUUGACGG